GACGAACGCUGGCGGCGUGCUUAACACAUGCAAGUCGAACGGAAAGGCCCUGCUUUUGUGGGGUGCUCGAGUGGCGAACGGGUGAGUAACACGUGAGUAACCUGCCCUUGACUUUGGGAUAACUUCAGGAAACUGGGGCUAAUACCGGAUAGGAGCUCCUGCUGCAUGGUGGGGGUUGGAAAGUUUCGGCGGUUGGGGAUGGACUCGCGGCUUAUCAGCUUGUUGGUGGGGUAGUGGCUUACCAAGGCUUUGACGGGUAGCCGGCCUGAGAGGGUGACCGGCCACAUUGGGACUGAGAGACGGCCCAGACUGCUACGGGAGGCAGCAGGGGGGAAUAUUGCACAAUGGGGGGAAGCCUGAUGCAGCAACGCCGCGUGCGGGAUGACGGCCUUCGGGGUGUAAACCGCUUUCGCCUGCGACGAAGCGUGAGUGACGGUAAUGGGUAAAGAAGCACCGGCUAACUACGUG
rnacentral:rRNA from 1 species